UGCAAUCAAGACUGGCAGUUUGCAGGUGUAGAGUGUUUUGUUUGACUUGAACGGUGCAAUUUACUUAUUUAUUUUAGUUUAAAUGCCUUUAGAUGGAGCAAGCACUUGACAGUUAAUCAUAGUCUUGCACCUAACUGUUGCUUUGCUUGCAGUUUAUGAGAGAAGAGACUCACCUAUAUGAAAGGAUUGUGUCCCUUCAAUCCAAGGGAUGUUGAAGUCCAAAGAGGUGAACAAUGGAAAGACAUCAGCUGUGAGUCAGUGGGGAGUGUCUGAGGAUGGAGGCGCUAUGGCUCCCUGGAGAUCUCUUGGUGUGUCCACAUGCCGGGUGGGUCCACGGACAGGAGCUCUUCUGGUGCUUCCCUCACUCCCCACCCGACCCAUGCAGUACCCACCCUCUGCAGCUGGGCCCUCCAGCUGGCUCAGCUCAGCCCUGUUUCAUGUUUAGUCGGUCUUUGAUCUUCACUCUUUAACUAAAGCCAGAGCCAGGUGAAACCUGAUUUUAUCCUUUUCUCAAAUGUGAACUAAGCUCAAAAGAAAGAGAAGGCUGAUAUGGACCCACAUCUAAACUCACAUCUGAAAUAAAAACUUGAGUGGAUUUUCCUGUUGAUCUAGAAUUGGUCACUGGGGCUGAAAUUGAGGACAAAGAGAUGAUCACCAACCUUCUGAUCUGGCCCUAUGCUUGGAAGAGCAGGAGGAGAGACAA
rnacentral:lncRNA from 1 species